rnacentral:lncRNA from 1 species
GGAGGCCAAGGCGGGAAAAGAGGAAAGAACAAGACUGACCAUCAAGGCUGGACAUCCCUUUCAGUUCUUUUGAGAACAGACUAGUUGGCUAGAUGUGAAGAAAACAAGCUUUGGAGUAAUCUUCCCUCUGCACAGCCUGUGAUAUUGGGAUCCAGUGAGUGACGGUGAGAGGUGGAGAUGUAUGAACGAGACCUGAGACGUUGGACCUGAACAUCACAGCAAUCACUUGCAGGGCUAAGAUUCAGGGCCAGCUGUCCAUGGAUUCUCCCGAGUUGGAUCGUCUUUCACACACCUGCUUCCUGAGGUUACAUCUCUUUUCCAGCCUAGGAGCAACCAAUAAAGAGCAGAGAGCAAAGAAAAGCAGACACACAAAUCAUCUCUAGACUAUGUCAAGGGUAUCCCCAAAA